AGGGUUUGAUCAUGGCUCAGAAUCAACGCUGGCGGCGUGCCUAAUACAUGCAAGUCGUACGCGAAAGCGGCCUUCGGGCCGUGAGUAGAGUGGCAAACGGGUGAGUACCGCGUGGGUGACCUGCCUUCGAGUGGGGGAUAACUCUCCGAAAGGAGAGCUAAUACCGCAUAACAUCCCGCUUUUGGAUGGGUGGAGAUCAAAGCCGGGGAUCGCAAGACCUGGUGCUUGAAGAGGGACCCGCGUCCGAUUAGCUUGUUGGUGGGGUAGUGGCCUACCAAGGCUUCGAUCGGUAGCCGGCCUGAGAGGGCGGACGGCCACACUGGGACUGAGACACGGCCCAGACUCCUACGGGAGGCAGCAGUAGGGAAUUGUUCGCAAUGGGCGCAAGCCUGACGACGCAACGCCGCGUGGAGGACGAAGAUCUUCGGGUUGUAAACUCCUGUCGAGCGGGAAGAACAGUGCGCGGGUUAAUACCCCGUGCGCCUGACGGUACCGCUAAAGGAAGCCCCGGCUAACUCCGUGCCAGCAGCCGCGGUAAUACGGGGGGGGCAAGCGUUGUUCGGAAUUACUGGGCGUAAAGGGCUCGUAGGCGGCCAGCCAAGUCGGACGUGAAAUCCCCAGGCUC
rnacentral:rRNA from 1 species